rnacentral:tRNA from 1 species
GCGCUCGUAGCUCAGUGGAUUAGAGCGCUGCCCUGCGGAGGCAGAGGUCGGAGGUUCGAAUCCUCCCGGGCGCACCA